GAUGAACGCUAGCGACAGGCUUAACACAUGCAAGUCGAGGGGCAACGGGGGUAGCAAUACCUGCCGGCGACCGGCGCACGGGUGAGUAACACGUAUGCAACCUGCCUGCAACCGGAGGACAGCCCGGAGAAAUUCGGAUUAAUACUCCAUGACACGGUUUUACCGCAUGGCAAGACCGUUAAAGAUUUAUUGGUAGCAGAUGGGCAUGCGUUCCAUUAUGGUAGUUGGUAAGGUAAAGGCUUACCAAGCCUUCGAUGGAUAGGGGUACUGAGAGGUAAAUCCCCCACACUGGUACUGAGACACGGACCAGACUCCUACGGGAGGCAGCAGUGAGGAAUAUUGGUCAAUGGGCGAGAGCCUGAACCAGCCAAGUCGCGUGAAGGAUGAAGGUAUUCAGUAUUGUAAACUUCUUUUGCAGGGGAAUAAUAGCCGGGAUGUAUCCCGGAAUGAAUGUACUCUGCGAAUAAGCAUCGGCUAACUCCGUGCCAGCAGCCGCGGUAAUACGGAGGAUGCGAGCGUUAUUCGGAUUUAUUGGGUUUAAAGGGUGCGCAGGCGGAUGAUUAAGUCAGCGGUGAAAUUUCGAUGCUCAACAUCGUAACUGCCGUUGAUACUGGUGAUCUUGAGUGGAACAGAGGCAGGCGGAAUUCGUAGUGUAGCGGUGAAAUGCAUAGAUAUUACGAAGAACGCCGAUAGCGGAGGCAGCUUGCCGGGUUUCAACUGACGCUGAGGCACGAGAGUGUGGGUAUCGAACAGGAUUAGAUACCCUGGUAGUCCACACAGUAAACGAUGAUUACUGACUGUAUGACCUGAUUGGUUGUGCGGUUAAGCGAAAGCGUUAAGUAAUCCACCUGGGGAGUACGCCGGCAACGGUGAAACUCAAAGGAAUUGACGGGGGCCCGCACAAGCGGAGGAACAUGUGGUUUAAUUCGAUGAUACGCGAGGAACCUUACCCGGGUUUGAAAUGCAGGGGCAUGGCGAUGAAAGUCGUCAGUCAGCAAUGACCCCUGUGCAGGUGCUGCAUGGUUGUCGUCAGCUCGUGCCGUGAGGUGUCGGCUUAAGUGCCAUAACGAGCGCAACCCUUACCGUCAGUUACUAACAGGCAAAGCUGAGGACUCUGGCGGGACUGCCGCCGUAAGGUGAGAGGAAGGUGGGGAUGACGUCAAAUCAGCACGGCCCUUACGUCCGGGGCGACACACGUGUUACAAUGGGGGGUACAACGGGUUGCUACCUGGCAACAGGAUGCGAAUCUCAAAAACCCCUCCCAGUUCGGAUCGAAGUCUGCAACCCGACUUCGUGAAGCUGGAUUCGCUAGUAAUCGCGCAUCAGCCAUGGCGCGGUGAAUACGUUCCCGGGCCUU
rnacentral:rRNA from 1 species